rnacentral:rRNA from 1 species
AGAGUUUGAUCGUGGCUCAGGAUGAGCGCUAGCGGCGCGCUUAAUGCAUGCAAGUCGAGCGAUGAGGCCCUUCGGGGUACAUCAGCGGCAAACGGGUGAGUAACUCGUAGGUGACCUACCCUCAGGACCAGGAUAACGGCUGGAAACAGGUGCUAAUACUGGAUGGACUUUCAGGGUCAAAGCUGAAAGGAAAGUCGAAGCGACCUUCGGGUGGUCAGACGCUUGAGGAGGGGCUUGCGGCCCAUCAGCUAGUUGGUAAGGUAACGGCUUACCAAGGCGAAGACGGGUAGGGGGUGUGAGAGCAUGGCCCCCCACAAUGGGACUGAGACACGGCCCAUACUCCUACGGGAGGCAGCAGCAGGGAAUAUUGCACAAUGGGCGAAAGCCUGAUGCAGCGACGCCGCGUGAGUGAUGACGGCCUUCGGGUUGUAAAACUCUUUUCUGGGGGAAGAGGAAGGACGGUACCCUAGGAAUAAGUGUCGGCUAACUACGUGCCAGCAGCCGCGGUAAUACGUAGGACACAAGCGUUAUCCGGAUUUACUGGGCUAAAGCGUCUGCAGGCGGUCGGGUAAGUUGGACGUGAAAGCUCCGUGCUUAACGCGGAGAGGCCGUACAAUACUGCCAGACUAGAGGACGGUAGAGGAGCGUGGAAUUUCCGGUGUAGCGGUAAAAUGCGCAGAUAUCGGAAGGAACACCAGUGGCGAAGGCGGCGCUCUGGGCCGGGCCUGACGCUGAGAGACGAAAGCUAGGGGAGCGAACAGGAUUAGAGACCCUGGUAGUCCUAGCCCUAAACGAUGGAUGCUAGGUGUGGGAGCGAGCAGCUUCCGUGCCGCAGCAAACGCGAUAAGCAUCCCGCCUGGGGAGUACGGCCGCAAGGUUAAAACUCAAACGAAUUGACGGGGCCCCGCACAAGCAGCGGAGCGUGUGGUUUAAUUCGAUCUACACGAAGAACCUUACCUGGGUUUGACAUACAAGUGGUAGUGAAGCGAAAGCGGAGCGACCCUUCGGGGAGCUUGUACAGGUGCUGCAUGGCUGUCGUCAGCUCGUGCCGUGAGGUGUCGGGUUAAGUCCCGUAACGAGCGCAACCCUUACCCUUAGUUAUACGUGUCUAGGGGGACUGCCGGCGGGAAGCCGGAGGAAGGUGGGGAUGACGUCAAGUCAGCAUGGCCCUUAUGUCCAGGGCUACACACACGCUACAAUGGUCGGUACAAUGGGUAGCUAAGCCGCGAGGUGGAGCGAAUCCUAUCAAAGCCGGUCGUAGUUCGGAUAGCAGGCUGCAACCCGCCUGCUUGAAGCUGGAGUUGCUAGUAACCGCGCGUCAGCUAUAGUGCGGUGAAUACGUUCCCGGGGCUUGUACACACCGCCCGUCACGUCAUGGGAGUCGGUAACGCCUGAAGCCGGUCGUCUAACUGGAAACAGGGGACGCUGUCGAAGGCGGGACUGGCAACUGGGACGAAGUCGUAACAAGGUA